GACGAACGCUGGCGGCGUGCUUAACACAUGCAAGUCGAACGGAAAGGCCCUGCUUUUGUGGGGUGCUCGAGUGGCGAACGGGUGAGUAACACGUGAGUAACCUGCCCUUGACUUUGGGAUAACUUCAGGAAACUGGGGCUAAUACCGGAUAGGAGCUCCUGCUGCAUGGUGGGGGUUGGAAAGUUUCGGCGGUUGGGGAUGGACUCGCGGCUUAUCAGCUUGUUGGUGGGGUAGUGGCUUACCAAGGCUUUGACGGGUAGCCGGCCUGAGAGGGUGACCGGCCACAUUGGGACUGAGGUACGGCCCAGACUCCUACGGGAGGCAGCAGUGGGGAAUAUUGCACAGUGGGCGGGAGCCUGAUGCAGCAGCGCCGCGUGCGGGAUGACGGCCUUCGGGUUGUAAACCGCUUUCGCCUGUGACGAAGCGUGAGUGACGGUAAUGGGUAAAGAAGCACCGGCUAACUACGUG
rnacentral:rRNA from 1 species